rnacentral:rRNA from 1 species
UACGGGGGGGGCAAGCGUUGUUCGGAAUUACUGGGCGUAAAGGGCUCGUAGGUGGCCAACUAAGUCAGACGUGAAAUCCCUCGGCUUAACCGGGGAACUGCGUCUGAUACUGGAUGGCUUGAGUUCGGGAGAGGGAUGCGGAAUUCCAGGUGUAGCGGUGAAAUGCGUAGAUAUCUGGAGGAACACCGGUGGCGAAGGCGGCAUCCUGGACCGACACUGACACUGAGGAGCGAAAGCCAGGGAAGCAAACGGG